UACGUAGGGGGCAAGCGUUGUCCGGAAUCAUUGGGCGUAAAGAGCGUGUAGGCGGCUCGGUAAGUCCGCUGUAAAAGUCCAGGGCUCAACCCUGGAAAGCCGGUGGAAACUGUCGAGCUAGAGUCCGGAAGAGGCGAGUGGAAUUCCUGGUGUAGCGGUGAAAUGCGCAGAUAUCAGGAGGAACACCAAUGGCGAAGGCAGCUCGCUGGAACGGUACUGACGCUGAGACGCGAAAGCGUGGGGAGCAAACAGG
rnacentral:rRNA from 1 species